GCGAGAACUAGCAGUAUGCUCGACAAUGUGCAACCCCUAGCUCAUCCUAAAAGUUACAGUUGGCGAAGUUUGCCCGCCAAUUGGAUGGAGUUCAGUGCCACAACGAAAGAGCGUGCAUUGUGGCGACGCCCGGCAGCCCGAGCACACCGAUGGGAAGUUCACCAUGCACGGCCAAGGAGUUCACCGUCCAUCCUCAAGCCCAUUGCAUAUUCUCAAGUUUUAGUUCUGGUCCUGAAGUGCACCUUUUCCACGGCUGAAGAGUUAGGGGAGCACAAGGUCAUUCUCGAUUUGUUGCCCGGCUGGUGGAGUCCAGGAUAAGUUCAGAUGUGGGAGCCCACUGGUUGCCGCUGCGGGAGUUUAUGAGUAAUCGGACAGACGGGAUAUACUCUCUUGUGACCCCUCUAACGAGCUCCGUCGGGAAGUUCAAUUGUGUCAGCUACCAGGAGUCACCACUCUUCGUUUGUAAGUCUAUCAUGCCCCGCUCAGUUUGCUAGUGCUUCUUUCGUUGCCCACCAUAUGCUUGUCACGAAGUCCAGUGUGAUCUUCCUGGGAGUUCACCUAGCGCGUUUCAGUUCUCAGCCAACAUUUCACCUUUGGAGACUUUGUUCCUUGGAAGACAGACUAGACAAAUUUGGCGCCUGCUCCAGCAUGAUUCACUGACUGCAAGGGCGCACAAACCUUUAUCUUUGAGAGAUACUCAAAGAGAGGAAGAAAGGAGAUCAGUUGUUGUCCAACAAACAACCACCCUCAACAGCUCCAGCUCCAUAAUCAUGGCAAUGUUCCAUCUAGGCAAUCUUUUCGGUCUUCUCCAGCAAAAGCAAUUGCUCCUCUCCAUAUGAGGUCCAAUCCUUUUAACCGUGCCAAGUCAAAUGCCAAAAAUAAUCUGUGCUGGGGCCCUUCUGACCACUCCAAACAAGAUAAGAAACAGGCAGAGUCUGGCUUCGUGUGUUGCCUCUGAACUGCUGCACGGUGAGCUGCAUGAGGCAGAUUUCGAGUUGCAUCAUGCGGUGUGGAUGGGAGGUCGGAGAGGGGCCGCCGGUGUUGUUGGGCGGGGAGGUGCGUCGAUGCUCUGUAUUCGAGCCUAUCAUCUAAAGCACAGAGGUUCGUUAAAAAUGUGUAGCACCAGGGGAGUUCAUGUCGUCCAACUCAACAGUUCACUCGCCACCGCCAACAUCCUCCAUCGGAGCCUUCCUCAGGCAGUUUCAGGUGCGAUGGUGAUACCUUGGGAGAAGAAAGGUGUCCCUGAGCAUGCCCUGUAUCAACCAGGCUCCGCCGCAAAGGUCAACCUUAUAGAACGCAUCAGUUCACCUUAUGAAGUGCGGCGGUUCACUCAGGCGUUGCCCUUGGCGCACUGGAUAUAUCAAGUUUAGGGGGACAUAUUAUAAAAUACAGAGAGCUACAGCUUGCUAAUACAGAGGAGUACACUGAUUGGCGAUUUUCUGGGAAACUAGGAGAGAUACUGAUAAGAAGUAUCUAGGUGUUCAUUAGAGCCUUGCAUGGAAGUUCACUUCUUAGUACGCUGAGCACCGUCGGGAGGCCACAUGUCCCUACAAUGGUAGUCUAGUAUGCGCCUGCGGGGAGUCCACAAGAAGAUGGUCGUAGCUGUCAGCCGACUACAAUUCCUGCAAGGACGCCGACCCUGCUCCCAGAUUUCUGUGGUCCGCCCAGAGGAACCCUCCAACCAGCUCUCACACGGUUGUGAUUGUUGAAUUGAACUGCUCCGCACGCCCUACCACAGCUUACAAGUUCACGGAGGGAGGAGCCCAUCCCACUCCGCUGUGAAGUCCACCUUGGGCGUCAUCCUGAAGUACACCUUGCGCCCCUUCUCCCGCUCUCGGCUGUAACUCCUCCUAAGCUUCGCUGCCCUCCACCUCCGAACCAGACCAGCACGGGGACCUCGAUUGACACAGAUAGAGUUGGACGCGAAGCACGGGGACAAUUUCAGUUUAUCUACGGUUCAGUUUUACCUUAUGUGAAGUUUAUCACAAUUUGUGGAGUUCACUUCUCAGACUUAAGUUUUACCUUGAAUCUCCAGCACGGUCAAAAGAUUGGACAAGGAAGGCAACUAGCUCCUUUAGCACAUACACAUGCGACUGUCAGAUAUGCUUUUUUGCAUAAUUAUUUGUAUGGCAUUCCAACACUAUGUAACAUUUGUUUGUAUUAUGUCUUCCUCUGAUGUUCUGGAUAGUGCUAGCUAUACAUUUUUGCUUUAGCUCAAUACUAGAUUACUACUUUGUCUAGUCGAGCCUGUACUAGGAAACUCCUAUUUGUAUUUAUUUUUCUCAGAAAAAUAAAUUCAGCGAG